GAGGCCCGAUGCCGUAUCCUGCCGCCCGUUUUACCCGCGGGAAAGCCGAGGCCCGGUGCUGUAUUCUGCCGCCCAUUUUACCCGCGGGGAAGCUGAGGCCCAGUGCUGUUUAAUAUCUUACUCAUGUUCACUUGAUGAGAAAGUGACAGAUCUGAGACAAACCCAGUUCUAGAGGUUAUGACACCAGCCAUGGAAGAGCAGAGAGGCCAAUGAGGUGGGGAGGUUGGAAACAAAAGGCCUUCUCCACCCCAGCUUGACCAACCCAAAAGCUGGAAGGCAAGGAAGACCUAGGAUCUGGCCAUUGAGUCACUGAGAGACCGUGGAGUCUUCAUAGACCAAGACCAUUCUCUUCAUCAAAGUCUCCCUAUUCCUGUUGUUUGAGAUUCCAAAUACGAUUUCUGUGGAGAAAACAAAAAAGGACUCUGUUUUUAAUUCAAAAGGGAGAAGUGAAAUUCUACCUCACUUUUUUAAAAGAAGAGCCUGGAAUUGGCCUAUCCGUCUUUUUCCCCGUUGGAUCACAGAGCAGAAAGGAAGGUGGGCGUUUGUGUUCUGGGUGUUGUCCACGCUGGACGUGCCAGCAUCUCCCACUGAGCCAGAUGUUCCAGGGCUAAGGCCAGUUUCAUUUGAAGGCACAGCCUUACUAUAUCAUAUUAAUCUGAUGCCAAGUUUUUGGAUGUUAUGAGCAACCACCUCAUUUAUUUUUUGUGGUUGUUUAACCACAAUGAGUAAGAUUCUGUUCCUGUGCAGCGUGGAAGGCUGCCAGGAAAGGUGUGAGAGGGUGAGAUUGUUUUUGAAAAUCAUCUGUCGCAGCUUCUAAGAGCAUUUUGGUGCUGUUUGUUUUCAUUAUGCUGUUGGAGGUGAGAAAACUGUGAUGCGGUCGACUGGCACCUAGCAUUGCCCCCAUCUGGAACAUCUGCAGCCUAGAUCUGUUCUGAUGAAGUAGAAGCCGCAGAUCUUAUCCUGAAACAGGCCAGGUGCAAGUGUCCUCUUAGAAGGGAUCAACCAUGGGAUGCGGCAUUAAGAGAAGAGAGAAGGACAUCCUUACAACUGUGCCUUUCUUUCAACUCAGUCGUGCGCAUUAGGCUUGUAUCAGUUAAAGUGCAGGCAAGAAAUUUCAAGCAGAAAGGGAGUCAGGUGCUCAUAGCAUUGCUGGCAGAAUUGAGAGCAGCGGGAGCCAUGGGAUGGGGGUGCUGCCUGGAAAUCAGGAAACUGGAGAAGCCUGCUGGAACCUGCUGAGGAACCCAUCACUGCAGCAAGAGACUGAUGGUGGACUGCAGGGGCCAGGAAGGUGCAGGAAGCCCCUGCUGCUGCAGGAGAAAGGAUGAAGGAUGGUUAUCUUCCACCUUCCAAAUCUCACAGGAACACCUCUUCUAGGUGGAAUCCAAACCAGAUUCCUUCUGGAAAGGGAUUCUGGAAAGUGUAGUUCUUAUGCUUCCAGCCUCUGAGAUAAGCAAGGACAAUUGCUGGAGGCGAGGGUGUCGCUGAAUACCAAGGAAGGAUAGCAGGUGUAGUUGCCCACAUGGCCACUCAGCAUCCACAUGGACAUCCCACCCAUGUUAAUUUCCAAAGAGCCAUCACAGAAACAUCAUCAUGCUUCCUCACAAAGAAGAAAUGCUCACCUCCACCCCAAUAGAAAGGGUCCAGGUAUCCAUCUCUGAGUGAUGGUCACCCUCCAUAUUCAGUAAAAAACACCCUCGGAUAGACUGUGGUUGAAAGACUAAACCUUUAGGUUAGCCACAGUCAAUAUAUCUUAUAUAAAAUAAGAGAGGCGGGGAGAGCAGGGGAAAGAGAUACUGGGUUAUGUGUGUAAAAACAUACACAAUAAAGCAAACAAGAAACGCUGUGU
ensembl:lncRNA MIR646HG MIR646 host gene